rnacentral:lncRNA from 1 species
CCUCGAGCAGUCUCUGAGCAGUCUCAUGUUACCUGAGAAGGAACGCUGGAGCGGCCCUGGUUUUUCAUGUGCUCCAGCUCGAGCCCUCCCCCAGAAGCCUUCUGGAAAGAGGCGCUGGAUUGCACCUACAGGGGCUGGACGCCCAGUGACCUGGGGGCGCCUCUACUCCCAGCAUUGUGUGGGGCACUGUCCUGGGCACGUAGGAGAGGUUUUGGGGAAGCAAGCCAGUCACAUCCCUGUGCUUGAAGAGCACCAACUGUAUGCUGAAAUACGAGGUUAGGGAAGAGUCAACCCACUGAAUCAAAGGAGUAUUGUUCCAGAUCGAGAGAACAGUUUAUGAAAAAGAGAGACAAAAAAGAAAAAGCCCAUUAUACAAAAUGGAAGAGGGCAAAAAAAGAGGAAAUUCACUGGCCUGGUGAAAAGACAUGAGACUGAAAAAAAAGUCCUUGUGAAGGAGCUUGGAUGUCGCUCAGUAAGCUAGGAAGACACAUUAAAAUUCGAAGGAGGAUGUGCGUAAUCAUAUUUGCAUUCCACAGCCUGUGUUCAUGGUGAACUGAAGGGAAGAAGGCCACUAGGGGCAAUAGUUAAAUGUUCUGGAAACUAAUCUGAACUGUUGCAGAGAAUGGAUUGA